ensembl:lncRNA
GUGAACAUGGGAAAGAACAGUGACAUGCACAAGUUAGGCAAUCUCCUGCCACUGUACUGCAAUGACCUCAACCAACAAUAUUGUGCAAGAUAGAGCACGGGUUGCACGUGCUGCAGACCAAAAGGGCAGAAAACCAAGGAAACCAAAUAUUCCCACUGCCCUGCUACAGAGUCAGACACAAGAAUGAGACUUGCACAGAGAGGGAGCUGAUUUGUCUUCUGUUUGUUGUCAGUCACGGUCCAGCUGAGCCACAAGUACUGGGGAACCUUCUACUAGAGCAAGGAAGGCAGCGAAGCUUGAACUAAAGAUCUGAAGCACUUUGCUGUGUCAUCUAUCUUCAUUGUCCCUUCUGGGAGCCACAGAAAUGGUACACACCCCAUCUGGGAACCAAAAACACCUAGCAACUGCAGCCUGAAUGAGGGCUUGAAAUGCUCUGCCAUUUCAUUUAUCUUCUCCGUCCCUCCUGGCAACCAGAGAAACAGUGGCUGAAGGCACACCCCACCCAGAAACCAGAGACAGCAAGUGCUGUACCCUGAGCAGAAGCCUGAAAGCAAGCCAUUCCAUUCAUCCCCUGCUUCCUGUCUGCAGCACUGUACCUGGCACAGGAGUCACUUAGAAUAUGCAAACUAGGAGGAUGGAACUUCCAGAAAUUCUCACAGAGAAAAUAUAAGGUGACAGAAGCAUACAUCCGAACACCCAAACUGACCUUCUGUGAAUGAGAUAUUCCCCUAACUUUCAUUGAUAUCCCCACUGGUUUUUAAACUCACCCAUGUAAGUUGGAUUAUUUGACCCGAGAUACUCUUUCAGAGUUGAUUGUGUCAGUUAUUAGAGGUUGCCAGUCCUUGGGUCUGGAGUGGUGGGGAGUUGUGAGAAGCCAUUUGGUGACUGUCAACAUCACUAUGUUAUUCCUGUCUAUCCCUAUGUAUUGGAUUGGUUCCAAUUGGACCUUAACCAAAAUUAAACGAAAUAUGUGCUUAGGCUCUUUGGUGUUUCUAAAAUCCACUUUUUUUUCUCAUGCUUUAUUCCAACCACUAAAUAAACAUUCCUUCUUUUGUGGGAGCUGCUUGUCAGUAUUAGAAGAAAAACAGGUGCCUGAAACCAGUCAGAUCUACAGGAUGAUAGGCAUUAGUACAUACAAGAUAACACUUGCCUCCUAACAAAAAGUAAAAGAAGAGCAAGAUUGCACACAAACACAAGCCUAGGAUCAGACAAGUCAGGAGCCAUAGGUGAUGUCAGUCUUGUAACACUGAAAACAAAAUGUCAGGAUUCUGGUAAAAAAUAAUGGUGAUUCCACUGUCUGCUCUGAAACUUAGAACUCUACAAAAAAAAUUAAAUAAAAUCCUUUUGAGUUUAUUUCCUUUUGAAUACAGUACAUUCUUUGCCCAACAGUAAAGUAGUAAAAUUAUAUUUGCUGACAUUUAGAAGCUUCUUUAUAAAACUUUGACCCUUGGAAGUCAGUGAGAUUUUUAUCACCUGACUUAUGGAAUAAAAAAAAAUGUUAAAAAAAAAAAAAAUCUGUUUCCUUUUACUACAUAAAACUUACCAACAAUUUCCUUCAGUACAUUCCAAGUGCACUCAAGAACUACCAAGUAAAUAGGAUUUGGAGUAGACCCUGGGCCCUCAGCUUCUCCUGUUUCAUGCAGAAGCAGGAAAAUUUCUUCUGUGACACCAUCUUCAGUUUUCUUGAUGUGUUCCACAUGACAAAUUCUUUGAAUACAGACUGGAAGAUGAACAGCCACUGUUCUCUGGUCCGGACUUAGACACUUUCAAUAGAAAUAAAACAGACUUGUGAUACUUUUGUAAUAUAUUUUUGAUGGUCGACAAGUCUUUUUCCUUGCAAUUCUGCAAAGCUGUUAAUAAGGACAUUCCCUUGGGAACUGGCAGUGUUCCAGCCUUUGUAGUUGUAGAAAAUCCAUAUACAAAAUAAUAUUUGGUAGUUCUGAGGUCUUUUACAGGUAUUACUCUUAAGUCUUUGUCUCAUGUGAACUUUGAACUAGCUCACUCAGGUUAAUUAAAGCAGCCUUUGUAGGUAAAAUUACAUCAACAAUUGCAGUACUGUUAUUCAAAUUUUCAAAAAUAUACUUCUUCUCCAGUGUAUGUAUUAUGUUGAAAGCUCAUAAUACUAUGAUGUCAUAUGUAAAGAUAGUAUCUCCUACACUCACUUGGGAUGACCUGUAUAACUAACUCAUAACCAUGCUAUUUGUAAGCAAUGGAAUCAUCCCAUAUUUAUUUUAUGAAAAUCUUUAUACUGUGUAGUAUUUAUGCAUGCCUAUGCUGAUCUGAGAUUGUCUUUGGGGAGUGCAUUACGUGUUAUGUUAUACUGUUUUUAUUAUAAGCAAUACAGGUAGUAAUGCCUACAGUUAAUGUUGCUUGACACUUUCUAGUAUAAGAUAUUUUUAUGUUGUUAUCUAUCUUCACUGAAUUUAAGCCAUUUGGACUACAAUACUUCAGUUUGGAUACAUGCCUCUUGAUGAAUUCUUUAAAGGAAUAUUUUACCUAAAAAGGUUCUGCCUGGGGCUUAUCCCCAGAACAAUAUUCAUGAAAAGUAUGCUCCUCUUUGAAUAGCUUUUGUAGCUUCUCAUUAUUGGGUUGUGCCAACAGUACAGCUUGAUAGAGGCUUAACUCUUUGUGGAAGUACUCACUGGAGUGUCCUCAUAUCUUGUUUGCUUACUUGUUUUCCUUCCUGCUACACAGUGAUCUAAUGGCAAAGAAUAAAAGGUAGAUAUAAGGAACACAGUUCCUUCGAAGUACAGAAGUUAUCGGUUGUUGAAUUUCAUUGAGUCAAGGUGACAUAAAUACACAAACACGGUUGACAUGUAAUUAGUUUAUUGGUUUGAUUAGACGUGGAUUUGGGCCUUUUUUAAAAGAAAAAUUAAUAUAUUGCUGCAACAUAAAAGUUGUUAUUGCCAAAAUAAAAAAAUGAAUACUUUGCCUGUGUUAAUUCUUGACCUUCUAGAGAAAAAUCAUUCCUCAUUGUAUUGCUGUAGAAAGACUGAUAGACAUGCAUCCAUGCCCCCCUUCUAAUGCAGUCUUCUUGUGAGGACAGUUAACACAGUCCAAGGCGACAUAGAGGCUUGAUGGCAAAACAAAGUGUUUACCAGUGAAUUACCCUUGUCUAUUGACAGCAAAACUUGAAUAAUGAUACCAAAAGAUCCCCAGCUACCAGCUGCUACUAAUUAACAGAACAAAUCCAGUAGAAUUCAACCUAUCCUAAUAGAGGCAAACUUCUGGAACUAGGCCUUUUGUUCCAUUGACACCAAUCUAAACAACAAGGCUAUUGACUGCAUGCAUGUGCCAGCUUUUGUUAGUGGGGGCUACCUGAAAAGAUGAAAAUUGCAUGAAUCUGCAAUUUCAGAUUCAUUAAUUCUCAGCUGAAAAAACUCCAUCUGUGAAUUGACAUGAGAGGAGUGGUCAAGGUGAAUUAAGAUUCCAUGUAAAAGGAUCAUAUUGUCAGUCUAGCCCUAGGAAAUGAAAUAAAUUUUGUUUCCAGUGGCAAUGCUAAAUAGGUCUCAAGAAACCACAGCACAGUUUUGAUCUUUAGGAUCACCAUGGUUAUUGCUAAAGGUCAUUAAUUUAUCUAUGGAUCACCAGUCAGAUCAGUAAGCCUUAUGGACAAUUUCAGAUAAGGAAAAAAAUGAAAGGCAUUCAAAUAACUUCCUUUUCUACUUUAUCACAUUUUUGCUAAGAUAUAUGCUGACAGGAACACAAUUCCUCAGAAAGGAAUUGUUCAGGAACCAGCACCAAGAAACCACAUAACUUCUCCCAGUAAAGAUUCCUUACCAUUUUCACCCCUUCCUUUACAGAAGACAACAUUGUUUUACUUCAGACUACAUUGAAUUCACAGUCAAAUUUAUGUCACAGUCGAAGUCUAAUGUUGAAUCAAUGUAGUCUCCACUAUCAGCUAUGCAUUUUUGCCAGCAAUGAAGAGGAGCCUGCAUACUGUGCUCAUAAAAAUCUGCACCAGCGGAGAUGACCUACAGUCAUUGUCGUCAGUGCUGAAAGGCACCACCCACUGCCUCACUGUGCUCACAUCCACUGUUUGGUCUCCAGGAACAUUCAGCAAGUGUUGAUGAAUGUCAGUGGGUACAAUUUUUUCCGCAUGGAGGAAUUCAAUCACACAUCUUUGUUUCAUCCAUGCUUCCAUAUCAGAUACCAUUUUGCCAGACUGCCCCUCUGCUGCCUUCUGUCCCACAGCAUCAACAUGUGGUGUAAUAUUGGUGGGAAAGUUCCAUCUCCACUACUGUACCGCCAACGUCCGCCUCUGAUCCGAUGGGCGAACAUAAUAAAAUUUCUUUCAGAGCAGCCAUCAUAGAUCUAUAUUCCCAGUAUUGAGGAGAAGCAAAGAACCAGGUGAUUAGACUUAAGAAGAUGAUCCCAUUCCUGGUUGUUUCUACAUUAUCUUCUUCAGACAGUGUGUUGCUUCUCUAUGAGCUGGAGGAAAGAAUGAUCUGUGCCUCUCUCUCAGCAGCUGUUGCUGAGACAUCACACUAUACUUGAUAUUCUGAGAUCACCAUGUUAAAUUACUCUUCUGGUCAUGGGAAAAUACGGAAUUGAAAGUCGAAACUGAAAUAUAUAUACAUAUAAAUAAAUAUAUACGUAUAUAUCCUUGGCCCAUUUCAAUCUGCAAAAAAUUCAUCUGUUAGAUCAAAAAGUUCACAUUAUUUAUUCUUGAUGAUGCAUUUCUAUUACUAUAGGAGAUAGCUUUCCUCUGCAUUUUCCAGUUUUCCUUUCUAUAAGAAAAAAAGAUGGUCAGGCUUUUUUUUUCCAAUCUAAAAGAAAGUUAGUCUUCUAAAACUAUCCAAAGGAAUAGUCUGUUCUUUCUUGAUAUCUGUAAAUAUCCUUAUCAUAGAGAACAACUUAUAACCUGGGAAAAUAAAUAAAUAAAUAAAUCUCUACAAACAGCUAUCAAUGUGUCCUGCAUGAGCUGUAUUGGAAUAUCUACUUCAAUAUCUGUAGGGUUCUCUGUAUUCACUAUGAAAGCACAUAAUUUUAGCUGCCUCUAUUAUUCACACAUUAAUGACUUUAAAACUGUAUUUAGUCAUGAGAAGAUAAAUUACAGAUUCCAGAGAAAAUGAAAGAAUUAGUAUCUUUUAGACAUGGAAUCUACAUUUACAUCAGUUCUCAACCUACUACUUUCUUAGCUUAUGGCGUCUAUUUUCAAACAUUUAAGAGGACAUUCUCUAAUUUAAUUUUUGGUUGAUAUGGUCUACAUAAUGAUCAUUAUUUUGACUACGAGAAUGAGCACAUUUUUACAGCUUAUCAUUCAUUUAAAGAGUUCUACAAGGAUGAAAUUAUUCUUCAGCUUCAUUCUAUGCUCUCUUACCAGCUCAAUUAUUAAUCCAGAAUUUUGUUUUCACAGUUGUUUUACAAAACAGUUCUCAUCCACACCAAGAAAAGGAAGUGAUGUUCCAGUGAUAAGUCAGCACCAGUUUGAAUAGAAUCAAGGCAUUCAGUGAAGUGGCUAUUUUUUUUUUCUCUCUGAUGUCAAUAUCAGUGUCUAGGGUCUGUUGGUGACCAAUGGAGUAAGCUGAAAGGGACAACAAUGUGAUCACACAAUAUAAUCCCUCUUCUAGCUUUGCACUUUGGGGGUUUUAAAGAUAUAUUUUUUUUGAAAGUUAGAUAAUACCUGUAUAUAUGCCUCCAAAACCUGUAAUCAGGGGCGUGUAGCAGACAGAUAUACCAGGGAUGUGAAGAGAUUUUAGUCUCAUCUUCAUUACUAUUGGCUGUAUGGUUCACAUAAGGCUGUCUGUCCCUCUGUAAUGAUGGAAGCUGUUGUAUUUAAGAUUCCAGAGUCAUGCAUUGCAGAACUAGAAAGGCAGGUGGUGACAGUGGCAGAGAAAAGCAGAAAGAGAAAAGCAGGUC